rnacentral:rRNA from 1 species
GACGAACGCUGGCGGCGUGCUUAACACAUGCAAGUCGAACGGAAAGGCCCUGCUUGCAGGGUACUCGAGUGGCGAACGGGUGAGUAACACGUGGGUGAUCUGCCCUGCACUUCGGGAUAAGCCUGGGAAACUGGGUCUAAUACCGGAUAGGAGCCAUUUUUAGUGUGAUGGUUGGAAAGUUUUUCGGUGUAGGAUGAGCUCGCGGCCUAUCAGCUUGUUGGUGGGGUAAUGGCCUACCAAGGCGGCGACGGGUAGCCGGCCUGAGAGGGUGGACGGCCACAUUGGGACUGAGAUACGGCCCAGACUCCUACGGGAGGCAGCAGUGGGGAAUAUUGCACAAUGGGCGCAAGCCUGAUGCAGCGACGCCGCGUGGGGGAUGACGGCCUUCGGGUUGUAAACUCCUUUCGCUAGGGACGAAGCUUUUUGUGACGGUACCUAGAUAAGAAGCACCGGCUAACUACGUG